rnacentral:rRNA from 1 species
GACGAACGCUGGCGGCGUGCUUAACACAUGCAAGUCGAACGGUAAGGCCCUUCGGGGUACACGAGUGGCGAACGGGUGAGUAACACGUGGGUGAUCUGCCCUGCACUUCGGGAUAAGCCUGGGAAACUGGGUCUAAUACCGGAUAGGACCACUGCCUGCAUGGGUGGUGGUGGAAAGCUUUUGCGGUGUGGGAUGGGCCCGCGGCCUCUGAGCUUGUUGGUGGGGUGAUGGCCUACCAAGGCGACGACGGGUAGCCGGCCUGAGAGGGUGACCGGCCACACUGGGACUGAGAUACAGCCGAGACUCCUACGGGAGGCAGCAGUGGGGAAUAUUGCACAAUGGGCGCAAGCCUGAUGCAGCGACGCCGCGUGAGGGAUGACGGCCUUCGGGUUGUAAACCUCUUUCAGCACCGACGAAGCGCAAGUGACGGUAGGUGCAGAAGAAGGACCGGCCAACUACGUGCCAGCAGCCGCGGUAA